UUCAGUCUUUUUGCUUCCCAUUUUGUACCGUACAGUACGUCCACCGAAGUACUGACGUUUCGCUGUGCCAUCGCAUGGCCGACGUGUGCAUUCCGAGGUUCACUUUCGCGUGGUACCCGCUCCGUCACAAGUAUCGCUUUUAAAACGUUAACACUUGUGGCAAAACAUCAACAUACCAAUCUCAGAAGAAAAAUUACUAGAUCCGGCUUUCACGUCGACGUGGACCACCUUUCCAGGCUUCGUCCCGUUGGUGAUAAACGAUUAAUUUAGUUUGAAACCAUAAGCCGCGACCACGCGACACAACGCGCAGCAAUGUCCAACGAAGAAACUUCCGCCGACCGCAAUGUCGAAAUCUGGAAAAUUAAGAAACUUAUAAAAAGUCUCGAAAUGGCCAGGGGGAACGGGACUAGUAUGAUCUCGUUAAUUAUCCCUCCAAAAGAUCAGAUAUCGAGAGUAAGCAAAAUGUUAGCAGAUGAGUUUGGGACAGCAUCGAAUAUUAAAUCUCGUGUAAAUAGACUAUCUGUUUUGGGUGCUAUCACAUCCGUACAACAUAGGCUAAAAUUAUAUACAAAAGUGCCUCCAAAUGGCCUGGUAAUAUAUUGUGGUACCAUUGUAACAGAAGAAGGAAAAGAAAAGAAAGUUAACAUUGAUUUUGAACCCUUUAAACCUAUUAAUACUUCGCUAUAUCUUUGCGAUAACAAGUUUCACACUGAAGCACUUACAGCGUUGCUUGCUGAUGAUAAUAAAUUUGGAUUUAUCGUCAUGGAUGGUAAUGGGGCAUUGUUUGGUACGCUGCAAGGAAAUACCCGUGAGGUUUUACAUAAAUUUACAGUAGAUCUUCCAAAAAAGCAUGGCAGAGGAGGACAGUCAGCGCUUCGUUUUGCUCGGUUGCGUAUGGAAAAGCGGCAUAAUUACGUUCGAAAAGUUGCAGAAGUAGCUACUCAAUUAUAUAUUACUAAUGAUAAACCUAAUAUUGCUGGUUUAAUUUUAGCAGGCAGUGCCGACUUUAAAACAGAACUUAGUCAAUCGGACAUGUUUGAUCCAAGAUUGCAAGCAAAGGUUAUAAAGUUAGUAGAUGUCUCGUAUGGUGGAGAGAAUGGUUUUAAUCAAGCUAUUGAGUUAGCUGCUGAAUCUUUGCAAAAUGUAAAGUUUAUUCAGGAAAAAAAAUUAAUUGGCCGUUAUUUCGACGAAAUCUCACAAGAUACAGGGAAAUAUUGUUUCGGCGUAGAAGAUACAUUAAGAGCAUUAGAGUUAGGCAGUGUAGAGACUCUCAUUUGUUGGGAGAAUUUAGAUAUUCAGCGGUACGUUUUAAAGAACCAUACAAAUGCAGAAGAGAAGGUUUUACACCUAACACCAGAACAGGAAAAAGACAAAACUCAUUUUACUGACAAAGAGAGCGGAGUAGAAUUGGAACUUGUAGAAUGUCAGCCUUUACUUGAGUGGUUAGCAAACAACUACAAGAGUUUCGGCGCCACUUUGGAAAUUAUUACAGAUAAAUCUCAAGAAGGCUCUCAGUUUGUAAGAGGUUUUGGUGGCAUUGGAGGAAUCCUCCGCUACAAAGUUGAUUUCCAGUCACUGCAGGCUGAUGAGCCUCUUGAUGAUGUUGACCUCGAUGAUUACUAAUUUCAUCUGUGAAAUACUCAAAGUUGACCAGCUUGCAUAUUGGGAAAGGUAUAGUAUAUUGCGGUACAAAGUGGACUUUCAGAGUAUGCAACUUGAAGAUGUUGAGGUUGAUACCUUUGAUCUGGAUGACUAUUAAAUCCGUGACUCGACAGACAGUUCUUUUAGCUUCACAGGAAAACAUAAGUAUAUGUUCUCCCUUGCAUCAUAUUUUAAGAGAAGCACAUAAAAGGACAUGUUUAUAAAAUUUAUUAUAUGAUGCAACACACUUCAUAAAAUUAUUCAUUAGAAUUCAUUCGAGCAAUUCACAAUCAAUACACAAAGGUGAAAAGCACAACACGUGGCGCGCCGAUAAUCCAUGUCCAUGAGGAAACAAAGGCAACUCGAAGACUGUGACACUUAAUUAAGCCAGCUUGAUACCUGCCUAUCUCACAGAACAUUACCUUAUAUUACAGUUAUAUUCUUUAAUUAUUCACAUGGAUUUAUUUAAAUAAUUACACGCGUUACAGUGCUGAAUCUGUUUGUACAGUACACGGUUGGAGAUAUGAUAAUUUUGUACCAAAUUAAUGUUUUGUCAUCUUGUCAUGAAGUUUACGAUUAAAAAGUGGAAAGGGGAAAAGAUACUCAAAUAACAUGAGGACGAAUGUAGAGUUAUUUUUGUUCAGAUACAACCAUGGAUAAGCUGUAAUAAACUGAUUAUCAUAAACAUAAA